AUACGAAGGGGGCUAGCGUUGUUCGGAUUUACUGGGCAUAAAGCGCACGUAGGCGGAUUGAUUAGUUAGGGGUGAAAUCCCGAGGCUCAACCUCGGAACUGCCUUUAAUACUGUCAAUCUCGAGACCGGAAGAGGUGAGUGGAACUCCUAGUGUAGAGGUGGAAUUCGUAGAUAUUAGGAAGAACACCAGUGGCGAAGGCGGCUCACUGGUCCGGUACUGACGCUGAGGUGCGAAAGCGUGGGGAGCGAACAGGAUUAGAAACCCCAGUAGUCC
rnacentral:rRNA from 1 species